rnacentral:rRNA from 1 species
AGGAAGUAAUAUCAAAUAAAACCUAAUUAUUUUGGCGGCAUUCAAUCUUAUUAGAGGAACUUGUUCCAUAAUCGAUAUCACGCGAUAAAUUCUACUUUUUUUAAAAAUUUAUAUACCGCCGUCUAAAGAAUCAAUUAAUAAAUAAUAUUCUUAAUAAAAAUUAAAAAGUAAGGUCAAGGUGUAAUCAAUAUAAAAGAGAGAAAUGAGUUACUUUAAAUAAAAUUUAAGGAAAAUAUAACAAAUUAUAUUAUUAAAAAGAAUUUAAUAUUAAUAUAUUAUUAAUAUUAAUAUAUGAAUAAGAAAAUAAAUGUGU